UACACACGCCCGUCACAUCACGAAAAGUGGGUUGUACUAGAAGUCGCAAUCCCAACCGCAAGGAGGGUAGCGCCCAAGGUAUGACCCAUGAUUGGGUG
rnacentral:rRNA from 1 species